UUGACAAUUCUCCCACUGGCUUGAUGUUGUUAAAUUCUAUUUCUUGAGCGCAACGGGAAAUACCGAGCCUGCAUCCCGCUGAUAGGAAUAUUCGGAGGCCCUUUGACCCAAACAGUGUGUGCAGCCGUGUGUGCCAGGCCCUGCUAUGGUGAGGCGUGUUAGCGAUGACGGAUGUGGAGGCGACCUAUGAGGACUUCAUCGCCUCUCGACGGUCCGGCCGCAGGAACGCCAUCCAUGAAAUCCCAGAUACCCCUGGAGGUCAGGGACCCACUGACCUGUCACAGAGUCUUUCCCAGCUUAACAUCAACGAGUCAGGUGAUGAGGGAGGAGACACAGAGAAGAGCCAGGACUCUCCAGAUAAAGAAGAGGAGGCACAAGCUGACUGAUGCAGCAAAGGCCUGCUUAUAUGUGCGUAGUGUGGACUCAAACUGCAGCUUAUUCAACCUGAGCUCUGAGUACUAGGCCUCUAGUUGGUCAUUUGCACUUACUGACUAUGAACAGACACAGACAAAUCCUCCACUGCCACCAUCCUAUCAUCAGGAAUUCAUUGCUAAAGCAGACACCAUGCUGUUUUCCUUCUGCAAAUGUCCUUAGAAAGCUUCCUCUCCUUGCUGCCUUUCCUUCAUGGGAGCUGAAAUGAGAACAUGUUUAAUGCAGUCUGAAAUCAAGAACCAAAACCAGCUCUGUAUGCAUACCAGUCGGGGGAAUAGGAGACAUGCAAGGCUUCUGGGGAAGACUGAAGAGUUCUCACUGAAUUAAAUGUUUACUUCCCCUCCGCCUUGAACCCCUCACUCUUCAUGUGGCAGCAUGGCAACAAGGACAGCGACUGGAUGCCUACUUCUUCUCUGCACUUCUUGCAACAAUGCCUGCACACGUUUCUCCAUCUAUAUCCGUACUCACUGUGGCUAUUUCCAGUCUCCUUGAUGUUUUUUGUAUUUCCAUCUGUAGGAUUUCUGUGAGCUUGCUCUCUCACUCUGCACCACAGGGUUGUUAAAGUUAAACUGAACAUUAGAGGGAGUGUGAUGUGUUUGUUUUUAAGUCCUUGUCAGGUGUGGCGGAAAUCUGAAAAUGAAAGACUCAAACUACAA